AUUGAACGCUGGCGGCAGGCCUAACACAUGCAAGUCGAGCGGAUGAAGGGAGCUUGCUCCUGGAUUCAGCGGCGGACGGGUGAGUAAUGCCUAGGAAUCUGCCUGGUAGUGGGGGAUAACGUCCGGAAACGGGCGCUAAUACCGCAUACGUCCUGAGGGAGAAAGUGGGGGAUCUUCGGACCUCACGCUAUCAGAUGAGCCUAGGUCGGAUUAGCUAGUUGGUGGGGUAAAGGCCUACCAAGGCGACGAUCCGUAACUGGUCUGAGAGGAUGAUCAGUCACACUGGAACUGGGACACGGUCCAGACUCCUACGGGAGGCAGCAGUGGGGAAUAUUGGACAAUGGGCGAAAGCCUGAUCCAGCCAUGCCGCGUGUGUGAAGAAGGUCUUCGGAUUGUAAAGCACGUUAAGUUGGGGGGAAGGGCAGUAAGUUAAUACCUUGCUGUUUUGACGUUACCAACAGAAUAAGCACCGGCUAACUUCGUG
rnacentral:rRNA from 1 species